rnacentral:rRNA from 1 species
AUUGAACGCUGGCGGCAGGCCUAACACAUGCAAGUCGAACGAGUGGCGGACGGGUGAGUAAUGUCUGGGAAACUGCCUGAUGGAGGGGGAUAACUACUGGAAACGGUAGCUAAUACCGCAUACCAUCGGAUGUGCCCAGAUGGGCUUAGCUAGUAGGUGGGGUAAAGGCUCACCUAGGCGACGAUCCCUAGCAGGUCUGAGGGGAUGAUCGGCUACACUGGAACAGAGACACUGUCCCGACGCCUACGGGCGGCAGCGGUGGGGAAGAUUGCACAAUGGGCGCAAGCCUGAUGGAGCCAUGCAGCGUGGAUGAAGAAGGGCUUCGGGUUGUAAAGUACUAUCAGCGGGGAGGCGGUACCCGCAGAAGAAGCACCGGCGAACUCCGUGCCAGCAGCCGCGGUAAUAC